GUCAGCACUGGUCUCUGGUGGAGCUCAGUCUAGAUAGUUACAAGUCUCUGCUGAACAUCACAGCCUUUGGAUUAAAACUGUCUCAAGUUCAGCAUCCUUGGACUGUGGGAUGGACAGGGUUUUUUAGGGCUGACCAGCACUGCGUGGGUAGAUGUGAAGCUAUAGAAAAACACAAACAAUUUACACAAGGCACUGGGUUUUGGUUCCUCUGCAAGAGAUCUGAACAAAACGAAAGCGAGAGAGAUUGGCAGAAAAUUGUAUUUGAUGAGAGGUGGAUUCAUUGAUAAAUCAUCUGAAUUUCUAGAACUUGCAGUGAAGGUAAUGAAACAAAGAGUGGCAUCACUCCUGAAUCCUCCGUAUAUACAUAUCAGGAACCAGAGAACAGCUAUUGAUUUCCUUGUAGAAACUGCUCUCUCUCUCUUUGCUGUCAAUGUUCCUCUGUUGGGAAGAUAGUGUUGCUGUUGGAGAAGAGUUGCUGCUGGGAAAAGAUGAGCUCUCAAGGGCUGUGCUGUGGCCUGGAUAGUGAGACUUGGCCUCAAGCCCAACAGUGGAAGCUUCCCUGCGUGCAGAGAGAUAUUGUAGAUGGACAGUAUGUGCUACCCAAAGAAGGCUACAAUUGCUCAUUGAAGUGUUGGAGCAAAUUAGUAAUCUCUCGUAGCUGAGGAAAAAUUAUACUCAGAAGAGAAAUGCUGUAAUUUUGAGAAAUGGUACGGUUUGUCUUUCCCUGCUGUUUUAUGUGCUUUAGCACUGCCUCGUGCCAGUGAAACUAAAACAUGAGAUGAGUGAGAGGAAUCAUUAUUCUUCUUUAUUUUAAGUGCACCCUGUGAAUGCUGUAUCUGUGAUGAUCUGUGAAAUAGAUACAACUCAGAUAAGCAAUAAAAUAAAA